rnacentral:rRNA from 1 species
UCUUCGGAAGUGAGAGCGUACACAGGUGCUGCAUGGCUGUCGUCAGCUCGUGUCGUGAGAUGUUGGGUUAAGUCCCGCAACGAGCGCAACCCUGCAUUCAGUUGCCAUCGGGUGAAGCCGGGCACUCGUGGAAGGACUGCCAUCGACAAGAUGGAGGAAGGUGGGGACGACGUCAAGUCAUCAUGGCCCUUAUGUCCAGGGCGACACACGUGCUACAAUGGCCGGCACAACGGGAAGCGAGUUCGCGAGGACGAGCGGAUCCCUUAAAGCCGGUCGCAGUUCGGAUUGAAGUCUGCAACUCGACUUCAUGAAGCUGGAAUCGCUAGUAAUCGUGGAUCAGCCAAGCCGCGGUGAAUACGUUCCCGGGCCUU